GCUUUUAAAGAAUUCGAAGGAAUUGAAAUUGCGCUAGAAGCGGUUGUCUUCAUACCAGAUACCUUCUAGCGCAAUUUCAAUUCCUUCGAAUUCUAUAAAAGCC